rnacentral:misc_RNA from 1 species
AAGUCUGUAAGGGUUGA